rnacentral:tRNA from 1 species
GGGGAUGUGGCGAAAUUGGCAGACGCGCUAGCUUCAGGAGCUAGUGGUAUCACUACCGUGAGAGUUCAACUCUCUCCAUCCCCA